rnacentral:rRNA from 1 species
AACGAACGCUGGCGGCAUGCCUAACACAUGCAAGUCGAACGAGACCUUCGGGUCUAGUGGCGCACGGGUGCGUAACGCGUGGGAACCUGCCCUUAGGUUCGGAAUAACUCCCCGAAAGGGGUGCUAAUACCGGAUAAUGUCUUCGGACCAAAGAUUUAUCGCCUUUGGAUGGGCCCGCGUUGGAUUAGCUAGUUGGUAGGGUAAAAGCCUACCAAGGCGACGAUCCAUAGCUGGUCUGAGAGGAUGAUCAGCCACACUGGGACUGAGACACGGCCCAGAAUCCUACGGGAGGCAGCAGUGGGGAAUAGUGGAAAAUGGGCGAAAGCCUGAUCCAGCAAUGCCGCGUGAGUGAUGAAGGCCUGAGGGUUGUAAAGCUCUUUUAACCGGGAUGAUAAUGACAGUACCGGGAGAAUAAGCCCCGGCUAACUCCGUG